rnacentral:rRNA from 1 species
GACGAACGCUGGCGGCGUGCUUAACACAUGCAAGUCGAACGGAAAGGCCCUGCUUUUGUGGGGUGCUCGAGUGGCGAACGGGUGAGUAACACGUGAGUAACCUGCCCUUGACUUUGGGAUAACUUCAGGAAACUGGGGCUAAUACCGGAUAGGAGCUCCUGCUGCAUGGUGGGGGUUGGAAAGUUUCGGCGGUUGGGGAUGGACUCGCGGCUUAUCAGCUUGUUGGUGGGGUAGUGGCUUACCAAGGCUUUGACGGGUAGCCGGCCUGAGAGGGUGACCGGCCACAUUGGGACUGAGAUACGGCCCAGACUCCGACGGGAGGCAGCAGUGGGGAAUAUUGCACAAUGGGCGGAAGCCGGAGGCAGCAACGCCGCGUGCGGGAUGACGGCCUUCGGGUUGUAAACCGCUUUCGCCUGUGACGAAGCGUGAGUGACGGUAAUGGGUAAAGAAGCACCGGCUAACUACGU